rnacentral:rRNA from 1 species
GACGAACGCUGGCGGCGUGCUUAACACAUGCAAGUCGAACGGUGAAAGCGGAGCUUGCUCCGCUGGAUCAGUGGCGAACGGGUGAGUAACACGUGGGCAACCUGCCCCUCACUUCAGGAUAACUCCGGGAAACCGGGGCUAAUACCGGAUAUGACCUCCUUGGGCAUCCUUGGAGGUGGAAAGUUUUUCGGUGGGGGAUGGGCCCGCGGCCUAUCAGCUUGUUGGUGAGGUAGUGGCUCGCCAAGGCGACGACGGGUAACCGGCCUGGGAGGGCGACCGGCCACACUGGGACUGAGAAACGGCCCAGACUCCUACGGGAGGCAGCAGUGGGGAAUAUUGCGCAAUGGGCGAAAGCCUGACGCAGCAACGCCGCGUGCGGGAUGACGGCCUUCGGGUUGUAAACCGCUUUCAGCAGGGAAGAAGCCGCAAGGUGACGGUACCUGCAGAAGAAGCACCGGCUAACUACGUGCCAGCCGCCGCAGUAA